CGACCUUAAUGGAUAGGAAAGACAAAUGAAACAAAACACGAGAGAUUAAAAUUAUUAUCCAUGCAUUAGAAAUAACACGACACACAACUGAAUAUUCAAACACAAAACACACACAGAAACUGAAAGACGCAACAAGGAUAGAAGUUGAGCAAGCUUGAUGCUGAACAACCGUUCCAAUCGACAAAAAAGCGAAAAAAAGGUAUAAAUUAUAGAUUUAUAAUGAUCAGAGGGCGUUGUCUGGAGGUGGCAACCAUUGAAGUUGAAUCCCAUAGUUCCAUGCAUCAACAGCAAUAUCUCCAGGUUUGAGAUUGAUAACAGAAGUAUAAGCACUGCACCCUCCAUUUCUGAGCCUUAUUCUAUGCGAAGUCAUGGCCGAAUCUUUCAAAAACGAACAACACAGUGUAUUUCUACACCCAUUUCCCUGUACAACCCUCUCCUCAAACUCUCUGCACUGACUACUUGAAGAGCAGUUUAAUGGAGACCGAAGAAUAUUUUCAGAGCAGUUGAAUAACAUCACUGUAUUAUGUGAAGAUAUGUUGAAAGGAGAGUUUUCAUCAAUUAUGAAGCCUCCCAAACUGAGAUCAGAAGAUUGGCAAGUGUUUUUUUCGAUGUGGGGUGGACUGAUAACGAGUUUAUGUUCAUUAGGGUUUAUGCUGAGGAUUUUGUAAAGAAAUUCUUGAUCAGCUGCAGACGAGAAUUGAAGGGUGCAAUUAUUACAGUGGAUUUUGUACAUGGGAUUUCCGCAGUUUUCAUUGGUGCUAAGAGGAUAUGGGACGUCCAUGUUGCAACAUUUUGGGCAUUGUGUAUGUGAUGAGACGAAGGUUAGCACUGAAAAGAGUAAAAGAAGAUGGAAAAUGAGAGAACCCAUAAUUAGCAUGAACUCUUCAAUUCUAAAUAGAUCAACACCCAAA
rnacentral:lncRNA from 1 species